ensembl:lncRNA
CCCCCCCCCCCCCCCCCACCCCCACCCCCCCCCACCCACACAGGUCCACAAUGUAGCGCAGAACGAGAUUACGCCAUUAUCCCCCCUCCCAUGAUCAGGUCUGUCAGCACGCCGCCGUGAGGCAUCAGAGCCGGCAGAAGCAGAAGAACAUAGAUGUUCCUCUGGUGGUCUACAAGGCUCGGCCCGUCAGGCCCAUCAAACGCCAACUCAGCAGUAUUUCUCCUGUGACCGACAACAUUAAGAGAUAACAAAUCUUUACCAUGGAAACGCCCCUGUACACAGGAUCAUUAGUCCCUGUUUAAUCCCACCAGUGCCCCUCCACAUCGGUACUGCUCCCCAAACAUUUCUGCUCAGCAGCAACAGACUAACAGAUCCUGAUGUUUCUCAAAGAAAAACUUUUACCCCUCAACCUGCGAGCAUCGCCAAGCAGCCGUUUACAUGGUGGAGGGCGGUGAGGGUGGAGAAAACAAAGAACGAGGGGGUGACUAGGAGCCCCCCCCCCCCCCCCCACCACCAGGAAACCGCUGGGACACCAAGCGAUCGUUCACUACAGUGUACAAAGACACAAGGCGACGGAGGAGUCCUACGUCACCAGGACGAACCCCCCCCCCCUCCUUCUCUUAGUCCCACUUGAUCCCGUGUGCGUGGCGCCGUGGUUUGUUUUGCUCCCUCUGACGGAUCAACAGCGCUCUGUGGCACCAUUUAUUUAGUUUGAGCGUUUUAAAGUAUUCUUUGUGCCUCUCGCUGACACGGGACAGUAUUUUAGGGCAUUCGCAGUGAUCCGAGGACUCGUUCGGAGCGAACCGGUUUGCCCCUCGGGGAGGGGGGGGGGGGGUGCCCCCCACGUCGAGUUCAACUCAGGCCAACUUUCGCUGAGACAUCAGAAAGAAAGAAGUUCUUCUUUUCUUUUUCUUUUUAAGUGGAAAAACAACCAUUUCCCAUUUUAGCGAACAAUUCCAAAUAAGAUUGUGCCUUUUUACGAGCCAACAAGAGUUUUGUCACGUUGCCCCCAGCAUGUUUUAACACACACACACACACACACACACAGCACCACCAUGCCUUCUGUUUUUUGUAAAAGAGAGAUGCAGAAAAAGUAAAACUACACAUAUAUAUUUUAUUCAAAUAUAUAUUGAAUUCAAAUAGUAUAUUUCAAUAUGGUCAUUUGAUACAAAUCAGGAAAAUCCUACUAUUUUUAAUGUUAAAGAUAUGUAUGUAUUCAGCGGGCAUAUUAUUUCCAGCAUCAUUCAGCCUUUGCCUUCUCACUCUUGCCUUCUCUCCAUCGCUGAGCUGCAGCGCCGAAGGCCGCCGGCAUCCGUUUUGUGUUUAUAUUGUACUGUUUGUAGUUGUUGCGUAGUCAGGCAAUGGAGGGCGUGACGGCACGAGGACAAAUCAGCGACUUGACCCCCAGGAGAGUCUUGGGAGCCGAGUCACACUCUGUGGGCGUGUUCUACCCGACAGGCGGGGCUUCACCAAGUACCUGAAGCGGUGAGCCGCCGCCGCCGACACGCACCUUCAGAGUGGACCGGGUGAUUGUGAUUGGGUGAAAGCUGGCCGGUCACCUCACAGCCAGCUGCCGGUGCAAACGGACCCUGCUUCAAGCGCGGACUCUGGACUCUGUGCCGGGUCGGCUUUGUGUGAUAGGCGUGUGCACGGGCUGCUCUGAACCCUACACACACACACACACACACACACACACACACACACACACCCUGGUUACAGUGAGCCUAGAAUAAAGGGAAACAUGACAUCACAUGUGACAUCACACGCCCCCACGGUCUCUCUGGAGGAGGAGGCAGACAAUCGCUGCCACACACACACACACAGUGGAACGGAAACGACAUCAUAAAGCAUCUGCAGAUUGGAGAAAGAGGGACUUCCCAAAGCCGACCCAGCUCAUUUUCCUCGCUGUGUGUGUGUGUGUGUGUGUGUGUGUGUGUGUGUGUGUGUGUGUACGUGCACUUGUGCAUGUGUGGUUUCUAUGGUUAUGCCGUCACUCACAUCUCAGCUCCUCCAUCAUAGAAUAACACACACACACACACACACACACAUCUCUUACUUCUGAUUGGGUUGUUUUACAUUAUCACCGUUGAAUAAGGGUCAUUUACUGUCAGCAAAUUGCUACAAGUGCCAGUAAAAGAUCAACAAAUGAACUUUUAGGGGCCGAUGUAGCCGCUUCAGAGUGUGCGGUGAGAAAGAACCGUUCCCCGCCGCGCCCCGCUUGUCAUUGGCAUUUUCUUCUGUAUUUUUUCCUGACUUAUUUACUGUUACUCUUGUAAUUCUAUUAUUAACGUGACUGUUUUUGAUUAUUCUGCUCUUUUCCUGGUUUCCUGUCCGUUCUUGUUUUGCACUCUCCCAGGAACUUCAACUUAGUGGGCUUCAGUGCAUUUUAUUUUUAAUGAUUUCUUCUUUUUUUAUACUUAUGUUGAUUUUAUACCCACGUUACCAUGGAAAAGAAGAGGGUCAUAUAAUCCCUAAAUGAUAUACAGCAGGGGGAAAUAAACCAUUUUUAUUUGAUGUUGUACAUAUAUAUUUUCUUCCCCUUAUGGUGGAUUGUGUAAGAAAAAAAAGCUUUGUACUGUUUAAGCAUUGUAUUUUAAAUGUGUCCCCCGGUCUCCUGUCCUGUCUCUACCCUCGUUUGGACCUUAACAAGGAGCUGUCACUCCAGAGGGGAGACGGAGACUUCUUAUUUUUUGUUUUUAUCAUAGAGGAACCACCUGUACUAGAGUUUCUCUUCUCUGUCCCUCUUCAUUUGUAAUUAAACAAUAAUCAGGGUUCAUUAAAAAAAGGUUAAUAAAAAACAGAUGAUGUCCGAGUGUCUUUGUUACUUAAUGCAGUAGAGUACUUACAAAAAGCCAUACUGAUAUUGCACUAAUUAUCUAUUAUUAGCUGACUUGCAUUACAAUGCAGUGUUGUUCAUUAUUAGCACAACAUGUAUGAUAGUUGAAGCCAGUUGAGUGAUGCACAUGUCUGUCUGCGCUGUGACAGAAUCAACAAUAUAUAAUCACAAAGGGAACGACUCAACAGCAACAUUUUUGAGACAGACUUCAAACCCAGGAAAGUAUUUGGGCGGCUCUCUUUUUUUUAAAUAAGUCUAUAGUAGUUUGGUAAAGGCUCAAAUUAGAAUCAUCUGUUUACUUUAUUCACUAUCCCUUUACAUUUUGUACCAUUUAGAACUGCUUAGCUGAUACUGAGUGCAGCAUCACACAGCUACUGAUUCAACCGUCUCCGUUGACCCCGACGGAGUCUGUAUGGGACUAAUCGUGUUACUAAAAGUACUGAUAAUGGAUGCGAUAUUUUGUAGUGAUUGCAAUCAAAGCUGCUUUUUCAUCCCAAGUUCCAAGAAGUUGACGUGGGCACAUGACUGUUCAUGUUCAUGUGGAAUAAUCUGAGCUCUCUCCUGGUAUCUCGCCUCUGGCGCCCCCUGCUGACAGGUUCUAGUAGAGCGACGUGGAUAUUGGAGACUUGAAUUGUUUGAUUUUAACUGAAGUUUGUUUAUAUAAAAAUACAAAUGCACAGUAAUAUAUCUAGACUGAUCCGUCCGGUCUGUUGUGGAAGGUAAAGUGGAAGUAGGCCGCUGAGUUUGGUUGGUCAACUGAAAAAGAUGUUAUUGACAAAGAUAAUACGAUCUAUUUUUGGACUAACAUAAUUUACUGUACAAUUAUUGAUAAAACGACAAUCUGUGACGCUGAAUUGUCUUCUUGAAUAACUACAUGCUAAAUAUGAAGCUAGCAGGCGGUUAGCUCAGCUUUGAAACAGUUUACUUUGCAGCAGCAAAGUUCAAAUAAGAAACUUUAUAUAUCCACAGUAUUGUUGUAAAAGUAUAUUUACUCUAGUUCUUGUAAUUCACUUUGGUCAGUUCUUCUCAAGCCACUUUUUAGUUACAUUUCACUACAUUUCAGAAGGAAAUAUUAGUAAUAUUCUCUACAACAUUUGAUUGACAACUUUUACAGUCAAUAUUUUACAAGGAAGAUGUACUGAAGUACUCCGUUACAUUUGCUCACUGGCUAAAAGGUAUUCAUGUAGCAGCCAUUUGACCCCCCUCUGUACCUACACGUUUUACUAUGCAUCCUUUACUUUCACAAUCUCACUGUUCUCCCGGUCACGUUAAUCAUUCCAGUAUUUGUUUCAUGUCUCUAACCGGCAACCCUCCUCCCCCCUCCCUCCCUCCUCCCCCCCUCCCGCGUCGCUCCCCCUGCCCUCUCUUUUGAAGCAUUCACCGGCUGCUAAUCUCAACAGGGGCCGGGCCAUAUUAUUAGGAGGCUGAUUGACGGGCUGUUUGACCACCAGCCGAGAGGGAUUGUUGUCUGGUUGUGGGACGAGGUCAAAGGUCACAGUCCAAAGAGGCCGAGACAGAAACCAGAUCACAACAGAGGGCUAAUUAUCAUGCAUUGUUGCUGGGCUCCUGCUGGGGGUCCGCCUUCACUUUCAGGUUACGGUGGAAACUGGAGACCUCCAACGUUCACAAGGGGGUGAGACACAGGAUCAGUGCACCAUUAAUUUAUAAUACACUGAUAUUAGACACAGGAUCAUUAGAUCAUUAAUUUAUAAUACACUGAUAUUAGACACAGGAUCAUUAGUUUAUAAUACACUGAUAUUAGACACAGGAUCAUUAGUGUAUAAUACACUGAUAUUAGACACAGGAUCAUUAGUGUGUAAUACACUGAUAUUAGACACAGGAUCAUUAGUUUAUAAUACACUGAUAUUAGACACAGGAUCAUUAGUGUGUAAUACACUGAUAUUAGACACAGGAUCAUUAGUGUAUAGUAC